rnacentral:misc_RNA from 1 species
GCAAACUUGGUCAUUUAGAGGAAGUAAAAGUCGUAACAAGGUUUCCGUAGGUGAACCUGCGGAAGGAUCAUUACAGAAAUUAUAACAAAGCACGCGGCUUCGCGUCUUUGUAUAAAAUCUAUCCUACCCCUUUGUGAACCACCGCGCGGAGCUAGUAAAGGUUUAGGCCUUGAAAGUUCGCGAUAAUCUAUAUACCCCCACGAUUAAGUCUCAGAAUGUACUCUUGCAUAUAUAUCGCAAUAAAAAUACAACUUUCAGCAACGGAUCUCUUGGCUCUCGCAUCGAUGAAGAACGCAGC